rfam:Biomphalaria glabrata isolate BB02 unplaced genomic scaffold LGTN_random_Scaffold191, whole genome shotgun sequence.
CUUGGUGCCUAUGGCGUAAUGGACACACCUGUUCCCAUCCCGAACACAGAAGUUAAGCAUUACUGCGGCUACGAUAGCUUAAUUGCAAAAAUAGCACGGUGCCAGGG